UUGACAACUCUGGAAGCAAGAAUUUUUUUUAUUCGGAUACCAAAUAUAGCAUGGGCAGUGGCAGACAAAGCUUCUCUCGUGCUGUUUCCUUCCAGAUGAUUGGUCUUGUCCUUUUGGGACUUGCCUCCAGUGGUGAGAGGUAGUUCAGGUUUCCUAGCCUGUUCCGCCUUUAGUCUCU
rnacentral:sRNA from 1 species